rnacentral:tRNA from 1 species
GGUCCCGUAGUUCAAUGGAUAGAAUAGAAGUUUCCUAAACUUUNNAGGUUCGAUUCCUGUCGGGACUA